AACCUGGGCGGUAACUGGAGCCGGGCAGGGGCUGGGGCUAGGACAGGACAAGAUCAGGGGCAGAGGCAGGGAAAGGGCAGAGAAGGACCGGGACAGAGAUAAGACAGGGGUAAGGACAAGGAUGGGACAAGGGGAGGGACAGGGUCAUGGGCAGGACGAGGAUGGGGGCAGAACAGGAGGACAGGGGCAGGACAGAGACAGGAAUUGGACAGGAGCAGGAAUAGGACAGAGGCAGGAGCGGGGAUGGGGGCAGGACACAGAGGCCAAGGCACCCCCCGGCCACCUGAGGAUCCCUCCUGCAGGCCUCUGUCCCAGGAUCUGGCAGCCCCUGGGGUCCAGGUUGGAACAGGAGCAGCUCUGAGGGUCUUUUCUUUGUCCUGGCUCGUGGAAGGGAGACCUGCAGCCCCCCUCAUUUUGGGGGGUCUGCUUUGCAUUGAGCUGUUCUCCUUUGCUCACUGCUCCUGUCACAGUGCACAUCCAUCACUUUGCAGCCAUGCCAAUGACUUGCUGAAAGCCAAGGUGGAGUUGUUUCAGAACCAGUACCACAAGAUGCAGCUGAGCAGCGGAGACCUCCCACAGCACGGCUCCCCACCAGAGCUGGUACCCGUACUGACACGUGGCAGGUCCAGAUCCAGGCUGCGCAGCAGUUCAUCGGCCUACUUUGGAGCCCUGACAGUGGAGCAGAAAUGUGAGCUGGCUGAGCGGGAGCUGCUGGAUGUGAAAAGUGACAUUCAGAAGAUGGAGGAGGAUUCGGAGAAGACCUUGCAUGACCUCGAGGCAGUCAUACAAGAAGCAGAUGCUUGGUGGGCUGAUGUUAAGAAAGUUGGCAAUGACUUUGAGGAAGACAUUGUCAGAACCAUCUCCAACGACAAAGGGAGCAUCACAGCUUCUGAGAAGCUGCUGAGAUACCUGGAGGAGAAGAACCACCAGAGGGAUCUGAUGAGACAGAAGCUACGCUUAGAAAGCAAUUUUCUCAGGAGCUACAAGAAGAAGCUGCAGCAGCAGCUCAGGCAGAAGGAGCAGGUGGGAGACGUGCUUCAUGAGGUCCACGCAGAGCUGCUGCAGGUUAAGAAAGCACAGUAUGAGGAGGAGAUUGAUGAGAAGAACAAGGAGCUGCAGCAGCUAAAGCUGGCCUUAGAGAAGACCCAGAUCCUCGACUUUUGGAAGAAAAAGCUGCACAAUGCCAUGGAAACAUCUACAGUUCUGAUGAAAGACAUCUCCCAGAGGAAAGAGAUGCUGGAGAAGAUCGAAAGAAAUACUACUCUUGUGAAGGAGCAACAAGCCAAAGAGGAGAGACUCAUUGGGUGGCUGCAGAAGCAGCUGUCAGACUACAGCACCCCUCCCGUGAUGAAUUACGUGCAGACAAUGAUUGCUGUUGCUGACCUGAAACAGAGUAUCAAGGCUUGGGAGAGGAAGGUGGCAAUUGCUGAGGUGAGGGAGAUGGGGCCAGGAGAGGGCUGGGUGCUGUCUCCUGCUGUGCUGCUGCAGGUAGCACUGGAGGCUCUUCCUGUUGCCUGCUCCCCACCCCCAGAACAGAGACUGAAUUUUAACAACUGAGCUUGGAGGUGAGGAUGCAGCACGUAACUUGACAGGCUGCUCCAUCAGGCUGGGCUCAUGUCGGAACCCAAAGGGUGUGUAAGAAGAAGGGGACACACAGUGCCAGGGACGUGUCUGGUUGCAGCACCCCAGCCAGCCGAUGGCUCCCCAGUGCUGGUGGUUCUCUUUGAUGAUCUCAAACAUUUCUUCCUCGUCUGUAUCUUGACUGUUCCCUGGUAAGGAAUGGCUGUAUCUGACAAAGAGCCAGCAAACAUGAGUUCAUGGCAAAGUUGCAAGAACAGUGUCUUUGUCUCUGGCCCUGGCACAACUCCUGCAGCCUGGGAGGAGAUAUGGAGAUAAGAGAAGAGCAUUGUCAAAGCCCAAGGGCUACAGUGAGCACUGAGUGCAGAUGACCUUGCAAAGCCACCAGAAAGCAUGGAAUCAAGUCAAGAUGUCUGGUAACCUGCACCUGCCUUGUGUGAUGCUUCAGGGCA